rnacentral:rRNA from 1 species
UACGUAGGGUGCAAGCGUUAAUCGGAAUUACUGGGCGUAAAGCGCACGUAGGCGGCUUUGUAAGUUAGAGGUGAAAGCCCGGGGCUCAACCCCGGAACUGCCUUUAAGACUGCAUCGCUUGAAUCCAGGAGAGGUGAGUGGAAUUCCGAGUGUAGAGGUGAAAUUCGUAGAUAUUCGGAAGAACACCAGUGGCGAAGGCGGCUCACUGGCCUGGUAUUGACGCUGAGGUGCGAAAGCGUGGGGAGCAAACAGG